CGCGAAAGGCCCCUUUCGGGGGCCGAGUAGAGUGGCGUCCGGGUGAGUAACACGUAGGUAAUCUACCUCUGGGUGGGGAAUAACGACCGGAAACGGUCGCUAAUACCGCAUAAUGCAGCGGCACCACAUGGUGACAGUUGUUAAAGCGGGGGAUCGCAAGACCUCGCGCCUAGAGAGGAGCCUGCGGCGGAUUAGCUAGUUGGCAGGGUAACGGCCUACCAAGGCGACGAUCCGUAGCCGGCCUGAGAGGGCGGUCGGCCACACUGGCACUGACACACGGGCCAGACUCCUACGGGAGGCAGCAGUCGGGAAUUUUGGGCAAUGGGCGAAAGCCUGACCCAGCAACGCCGCGUGAAGGAUGAAGCUUUUCGGAGUGUAAACUUCAUAAGAAUGGGACGAAUAAAUGCGGGCUAAUAUCCUGCAUGAUGACGGUACCAUUUGUAAGCUCCGGCUAACUCCGUGCCAGCAGCCGCGGUAAUACGGGGGGAGCAAGCGUUGUUCGGAUUUACUGGGCGUAAAGGGCGCGUAGGCGGCGCAACAAGUCACUUGUGAAAUCUCCGGGCUUAACUCGGAGCGGUCAAGUGAUACUGUCGUGCUAGAGUGCGGAAGGGGCUACUGGAAUUCUCGGUGUAGCGGUGAAAUGCGUAGAUAUCGAGAGGAACACCUGCGGCGAAGGCGGGUAGCUGGGCCGACACUGA
rnacentral:rRNA from 1 species